rnacentral:rRNA from 1 species
AGUGAACGCUGGCGGUAGGCCUAACACAUGCAAGUCGAACGGCAGCACAGUAAGAGCUUGCUCUUACGGGUGGCGAGUGGCGGACGGGUGAGGAAUACAUCGGAAUCUACUUUUUCGUGGGGGAUAACGUAGGGAAACUUACGCUAAUACCGCAUACGACCUACGGGUUAAAUCAUGGGAUCUUCGGACCUUGCGCGAUUGAAUGAGCCGAUGUCGGAUUAGCUAGUUGGCGGGGUAAAGGCCCACCAAGGCGACGAUCCGUAGCUGGUCUGAGAGGAUGAUCAGCCACACUGGAACUGAGACACGGUCCAGACUCCUACGGGAGGCAGCAGUGGGGAAUAUUGGACAAUGGGCGCAAGCCUGAUCCAGCCAUACCGCGUGGGUGAAGAAGGCCUUCGGGUUGUAAAGCCCUUUUGUUGGGAAAGAAAAGCAGCAGGUUAAUACCCCGCUGUUCUGACGGUACCCAAAGAAUAAGCACCGGCUAACUUCGUG